CUUAUACUCCCUCUGUCCGAAAAUAUUUGUCAUAGGAAUGGAUGUAUCUAGAUGUAUUUUAGUUCUAGAUAUAUCCAUUUUUAUCCAUUUGUGUGACAAGUAAUUCCGGACGGAGGGAGUAUGUA
rnacentral:pre_miRNA from 1 species